CCACUUAAAGAGGAGGAGGAGAUCAUCUCCUACAUGCUACAUGGCCUCGGCUCUGAAUAUGAUCCUCUGGUGACAAGAAUCACCACGUGCACUAACCUCAUCAUGAUCGGUGACAUCUAUGCGCACAUGCUGAACUUUGAGC